GGGCGGUUAGCUCAGUUGGUUAGAGCGUUGCGUUGACAUCGCAAAGGCCGUAGGUUCGAGUCCUAUACCGCCCA
rnacentral:tRNA from 3 species